rnacentral:rRNA from 1 species
GUGCCAGCAGCCGCGGUAAUACGGGGGGUGCAAGCGUUAUUCGGAAUUAUUGGGCGUAAAGGGUGCAUAGGCGGUUUUGUAAGUCAGAUGUGAAAUCCCGGGGCUUAACUUCGGAACUGCAUUUGAUACUGCAAGACUUGAGUAUGGGAGAGGAGAGCGGAAUUCCUGGUGUAGAGGUGAAAUUCGUAGAUAUCAGGAGGAACACCGGUGGCGAAGGCGGCUCUCUGGACCAAUACUGACGCUGAGGCACGAAGGCGUGGGGAGCAAACAGGAUUAGAUACCCUGGUAGUCCACGCAGUAAACGUUGAUCACUUGGUGUUGCGGGUAUUGACCCCUGCGGCGCCGUAGCUAACGCGUUAAGUGAUCCGCCUGGGGAGUACGGUCGCAAGAUUAAAACUCAAAGGAAUU